rnacentral:lncRNA from 1 species
ACUCAAGAACCCAGCCCCCAUAGUGUGAGAAGGCUUAGGACAGUUACAGAAGCCAUGUGCAGGUGUUCUGGCUCCAGCAAAGGUCUCAUCUGACAACAUCAACUACAUGUUAGUGGGGUUUGUCUUGGUUCAUUUUAUGCUGCUGUAACAGAACACCAGAGACUGAGAAAUUUAUAAGGAAUAGAAGUUUAUUUGCCUCAUGGUUCUGGAGGCUGGGAAGUCCAAGAUCAAGGGGCUGCAUAGAUUGAAGUCCUUUUUGCUGACUCAUAACAUGGAAAGAGAGUGCACUGCAUAGAAGAAAGGAGGCCAAACUCAUUCUUUUAUCAUGAGCCUACUCCUGAAAUAACUCACUCUCAAGAUAAUGGCAUUAACCCAUUCAUGAAGGCAGAACACUCAUGAUGUAAUCACCUCUUAAAGACUAACCAGAAUUGGCUACAGUUUCUUCAAGAAAAUACCCCAAUGGAAGAAAAACAGGUGGAGGGAGAAACUGAAUGAAGAAAGGAUGAUUUGAAAUUACCAGAAAGUGGAACAUGGAAAAAACAGAUUAAAACUAGUUUGAGAAUAAAAUCUUAGGUUGUUAC